rnacentral:tRNA from 1 species
GGGCGCUUAGCUCAGUUGGUUAGAGCGCAGCCUUCACACGGCUGAGGUCGAGGGUUCGAAUCCCCCAGCGCCCACCA